CGCGCCCGAUUUUCCUGGCAGCGUGGGCAGCGGCUUUGUCAUCUCGGUUACUCAAAGCCGCAGCGGCCGCCCAAGCCACUCCUGCAAGUGGGGCUGAACCUUGGAGGGUCACGAUGAGGGUAAGGGCGUGAGGAGCCCUGCUUAUUGGCAUCACAUCGCGGAAUUCUGUCCUCUGCCCUCGUUUACGUGACGUCACGCAAUCAGGUAUGUCAUCAGAGACCCUCGAAAGCCCGGCUCCGUUAAUAAGAAUAAAUAGUUACACGGCAAGAUGACCAAGACACACUGUUAAUAGAAAAAAAGGCAAGUUUCAGAACCGUCUAAGAUUGCCCCAGGCAAAACCAGCCUGGGAGGACCAGACCAAAUCUUUCUUUGAAACCUCAGAUCUUCAAAAAUGAAGGGAAAUCCCAACAAGAAGCAAUUGCCAAAACCUCCGGCUAUGGGAAAGUCAUGAAUUAGAUUUUCCUACGGCAUCUGAAAUGUUUACCAACAGCUCCCACCUCCCCCACUUCCACUCACCCUGGCACAUUCCAGACCAAAGCCCAUAAAACCAGCUAGUUUGGUUUUCUGAUCAAUGAGAAAGACAUUCAUGGCGGGCAAUCGCUCUUGACCUUAGGACAAGCUCUUUCCUCUGCCUGGAAUGUCUUCUCCCAGAUGCUAACAUGGAUGACUCCCUCUUCUCCUUCCUAUGGUGGGGCAGUUUAUGGAGAGAAUGCAAAAGAAGGAGCAGCUUUUAGGGGAGAGAUGAUGAGUGACGUUUGGACUUGUUGAUUUUCAGGUAUGACGAGGCUGGGGAUAUCCAGACACCUCUUUUUGAUAGAAGCUAAAAUAAACAGGGCCAAAUAGGCAAUACUGGAACCUGGAGUGUGGCUGCCCCACUUCACCUCCGCUGGAAGCUUUAUCUGUACACUGACAACUCCCAAAUCGUAUCUCCUAUGCAGACUUUCCUCCUGAGCUCCCACCCAAAUGUACCCCAGGGAUAUUUCCACUUAGAUAGCUUAUAGUAACCUCAAGUUCAGCUGUAGAAGUUCAGUUCAGAAGCAUUUAUUAAGGUUCUGAGUUCAAAUGGUGAAUGAGACUUUGUUCCUAACACAUUAGGCUGUAGAAUUCAACUCCUGUUUUUCCAAAGCUUCGUAUCACCACCUGCAUCAGAAUUAUCCCAGAGGCUUGUUACAAUUAUGAAUUCCUGGGACCAACCCAAACCUACUCAAUCAGAAUCUCCUGGGAUAGUGGCUGGGAAUUUGCAUUUGGAGCAAGUUCUAGGUGAUUAUUAGGCACACUUAGGUUUGAGAAUCACUGAUUUCAUGCUGCGAGAAGGUAGGAGACAUUGGCUGCCAAUCAACAGAAGUUUCUUGCAGAAGUGAUUAUUUUAAGCUUAAAAGUAAUAGCAAUAAUAAUAAUUCAUAGUUGCCAAACAUUUUUACAAAUCUCAUUUGACCUCUUGCAGCCCUAUAAAGUAAGUCCUUUUAACCUCAUUUUCUAGAUGGAAAACUGAGGUUCAUAGAGACGACAUGAUCCAUUCAAGGUCUCACAAGUGGUUGCUGGCAGAGCCAAGUCUCAAAUUCCCCUUUCCUGAUUCCAAGUAUACCUAUGCCCUGCCCAGAGCGUCACAGCAGCAUCAGUGAGUCAGUCAGACUUCAAAACAGACCACUUAGGUGUAUAAGGGUGAGUUAUAAUACCCCAAGAGUAUUGGAGCUUAGCCUAACUGAGCGAGAUUAUACCUGGAGCAUUCUGGAACUUUCUACCUUGGGCAGGGAUCAAUAAGUUCAGUUCUGUAUAGCCAAAGAGCAGAAGUGCCAAUAAGCACCCGGAGUUAUCCAAGGUCUUGGGGUUACCUUAGAAUUUCUCCUUUCCCCUUACGUUAUCCCAACCAUCCUAUCUUUCUUCCAGAUGCCCUAGGCAGCCCUCUGUGUACCCUUAAAUUUCUGAAAUUUCUUUUCCUCCAAUCUUUUCCCUAAUUCUACCUAAUUCUCAUGUUCACUUAAACUCCUACUGUUCUUUAAGACUCAGCCUAGACAUCCCUGACCCUUACCCUUCAGGUAGUACUCAGUAUUUCUCCCUUUCUGUUCCCAUAGCAUAGCACCCUGUGUAUGCUUACUAUGUUACUUUGUAGCUCUGUUUGCCUCAUGUCCUUGGUUGUAAACUCCUGAGAGAAGAGAUUGUGUAUCGCUGAUUCUGGGUAUCCCCAGUGCCUAUCACAGUGCCUUGAAAGUAGAUCCUCAGUAGCUGUUUGUUGAAUGAAUGAGUGACUGAUGUCCAUACUACUGCAGUGUCUGGAACUCCAAGUCACACCCCCAAUACACAGCUUCCGUGGUCACAGCCUUUGGUAGAGAAAUCUUUUCUUACUGUGGACAGUGCCAAAAAGAGUUAUUCUGAAAACCAGGGAUGGCCCACCGUGACCCAUCCAGCAACUCACAAGGUCCCCAUUGGUAGCCCUCAAGCUUGCCUUAGGAGGCAUCCUAUUUAUGUGUUAGCGUUUGGCUCACUGAAAAUGAAAAACACAAAUUCAAAUCAUUAAACAUCCCUUUUUCAUCCAUAAAAUUAGCGUUUUUUAAAAGAACUGUCUGUUGAUGAACAUAAGAUGAAAUUGGAUGUUUUUGUACAGCUCCAGGAGGAGUGGAAAUCAAGGCAACUCUUCUAUAGAUCAAUUGUAAAUCGUCAUCAAGAACCCCAAAAUGUUCACACUCUUUAACCCAAUAACUCCACUUCUAAAACUUCUCCUGAAGAAGUAAUUUUUAAAAUGCCAGGAUUCAUGCAGAAUGGGUUGUUUACAAGAGCGCAAGUUAUUUAUAAUAACGAAAGUAAUAGUGAAAGUUGUGAGUACACAGAUGCUACAGUGAGGCAUCCUCCAAGAACUUAGGAUGAGGAACCCGUUUUCCACUGGGAGUUAAUCUACAAAGUCAACCCCAGAUGGAUCAGAGUCCAAACAUUCAAAAUCAGUGGAAAGCGAGAGAAAAGCUACUAGGCUCAUAGAACUUGAUUGUCAGCGUUGACUCACAAAAGAAAGAUUGUGUCAAUCAGAACAGAUUUUAGCCACAGACACACAGAAAUCAAAAGCGAGACUAUGGGCAAGUAUGCGCAGGUUAGCCAGCAGAUUCCAGUGCUCCCUCUGGAAUGGCCAUUCUCAAGAUGAGAAGGUUACACUCGGCCAUGCUGGAAUGAGGCCCUGAGAGGCACCCCACCUCCAUCUUCCUGGUUCCAGGGUCACCAAGGAGCCAUCUGGUUCCCUUGGACUUAACUCCAUGGAAGGGUUGUGGCAUCUUGGUGUCUUUCUAAUAGUAAACUAGAAGAUGGAUUCUAAUUAUAAUAUUCUUCCCAACGUAAGUGGAAGAGGGUGUUCUUUGUACCAGUGCUACCAGGAGUACUUCCUGUCCCUGUGACAGUUAUGUUUCUCAAUGAAAGAUGAAUACGGUGCCCUCCUGCUGUCUCCCUCAGGCCCCUCUUUUCAGUGAACUUAGCAAGAAUCAGUCUUUCAGAACAUGGUCACUCCUGGAUCCUGCAAGAACCAGUUCCAACUGGCCUAUUCUCCACACUAAUUCCACAAGCAGGAGUCUGUUACUCAUUGCUACAGGGCAAAAGUCUGAAUGACCGAAAUGUCCAACAUUAGGGAAAGUUUAAAUAAAUUAUGCUCUAUCCAUUCCUCCCAAUAUUAUGUAGAAAUUAAAAAUCUUCUUUUAAGAAUAUUUAAUUACUUAGAGAAAUAGUCAUAUUCAUUAUUAAAACUGUAUGAUUCACACUCGAAAAAGCAGUUUGACAGUUUCUUGCAAAAAUAUGCAACUAUCAUAUAACCUAGCAAUUGCACUCUUGGGCAUUUAUCCCUGAGAAAUGAAAACUUAUGUUCACAUAAAAACCUAUACAUGAUUAUUUGUAACAGCUUUGUUUGUAAUAGCCAAGAACUAUAAACAAUCCAGAUAUCCUUCAAUAGGUGAAUGGUUAAACCAAUUCUGGUACAUUCAUACCAUGGAAUACUAUUUAGCUAAAAAAAAAAAAAAAAAGGGAACAAUCUAUU